UACGGGGGGAGCAAGCGUUGUUCGGAUUUACUGGGCGUAAAGGGCGCGUAGGCGGCGUGACAAGUCACUUGUGAAAUCUCCGGGCUUAACCCGGAAAGGUCAGCCGAUACUGCGGGGCUAGAGUACGGAAGAGGCGAGUGGAAUUCCCGGUGUAGCGGUGAAAUGCGCAGAUAUCGGGAGGAACACCAAUUGCGAAGGCAGCUCGCUGGGACGUCACUGACGCUGAGACGCGAAAGCGUGGGGAGCAAACAGG
rnacentral:rRNA from 1 species